GACGAACGCUGGCGGCGUGCUUAACACAUGCAAGUCGAACGGAAAGGCCCUGCUUUUGUGGGGUGCUCGAGUGGCGAACGGGUGAGUAACAAGUGAGUAACCUGCCCUUGACUUUGGGAUAACUUCAGGAAACUGGGGCUAAUACCGGAUAGGAGCUCCUGCUGCAUGGUGGGGGCUGGAAAGUUUCGGCGGUUGGGGAUGGACUCGCGGCUUAUCAGCUUGUUGGUGGGGUAGUGGCUUACCAAGGCUUUGACGGGUAGCCGGCCUGAGAGGGUGACCGGCCACAUUGGGACUGAGAUACGGCCCAGGCUCCUACUGGAGGCAGAAGUGGGGAAUAGGGCACAAUGGGCGGAAGCCUGAUGCAGCAACGCCGCGUGCGGGAUGACGGCCUUCGGGUUGUAAACCGCUUUCGCCUGUGACGAAGCGUGAGUGACGGUAAUGGGUAAAGAAGCACCGGCUAACUACGUG
rnacentral:rRNA from 1 species